GAUGACGCAUCAUGUCCAAAAAUGUCGCAAACAGAUGAUAUAACUAGUUGUAUGUUGAGAGGCUUCUUUUUUGUUUGUCUGAGAAAAGGAAGGACAGGAUUGGGGAGAAAGGCCCACCCUACUGAAAAUAACCAAGCUCAAGUACCGGAAUGAACCUCUCAAGACUUGAACCUGGGACCUCCUCCAAUGGAGGAAGGUUGUGGCCACUGCUCACCUGGUUUAUUGUUGAGAUUCCUUCAUUGAAGGUUCAUCUUGGUAAUGGAUGCGGUAGUUUUAUGAAGAGAGGAAGGGCAAGAUGCACGGAAAUAGUAAGCCCUAUCAAUGUGGUAGCAUAAUGGAAUAUUCAAUAUGUUAUCUAAAUGAUAGAUGAGGGAUCAGGCUUUUAGAUUUUGUUUUAUAAUUAAUAUGGGACAAUUUAUUUGAAGGGCCUUAUUUUCAUAUUUUUGUUACAAGAAGCCUUUAAUAGUCAUUAUGGGGUAGUAUGUAAUUAUGGGUUAUACAGAGUAGCUUUUUCAGUGGCAUUACAAAAUGUACACACAUUAAUUUUAGGCAAGUAGAUGUCCUGAACUUGAAUUUGUGACCACAUGAGUUAUGGUG
rnacentral:lncRNA from 1 species